rnacentral:lncRNA from 1 species
UGUUAACCAAAUAUUCAAGUAUAUCUCCAUCACAGAAUCUGAUUCCCUUCUUAUGCUUCACAGAUUGCUUUGUUUUGUAUUUCUCCUGUUCUAAUAAAUAUAUCAUUACUCAUCCCUUCUUUCUCCUCUAUUUUUCUUUCAGAGGCAAAGUUCGUAAAGUCCUCCAUAUUUUUAUGGUUAUAUUUUUCUUGAAUUUAAAAAUAAAUAUGAACACCAAAGAAAAAUAUCAUCCUAAUAUAGCUGCACAUUUGUUUCCUGAGAAUACAGGCAGAAUGUUCCUUCUGACUAGCUCCAGGAAACCAAACAAGAGGUGUUUUAAGAAUACAUUCCCACUGAGGUGAGUUCUGUGAGACAAAGCAAAUAGAGCAUUAAAAAAUUGGAAAGAGUACCAAAUUUCAU